rnacentral:rRNA from 1 species
GACGAACCGUGCGACCGUUGUUCGGAAUCACUGGGCUUAAAGGGCGCGUAGGCGGGCCCGCAAGUCAGGGGUGAAAUCCCACGGCUCAACCGUGGAAGUGCCUUUGAUACUGCGGGUCUCGAGGGAGGUAGGGGCGUGCGGAACUUCCGGUGGAGCGGUGAAAUGCGUAGAUAUCGGAAGGAACACCGGUGGCGAAAGCGGCGCGCUGGACCUCUUCUGACGCUGAGGCGCGAAAGCGUGGGGAGCAAACAGG